rnacentral:rRNA from 1 species
GUGGGGAAUAUUGCACAAUGGAGGGAACUCUGAUGCAGCAACGCCGCGUGAAGGAAGAAGGUUUUCGGAUCGUAAACUUCUAUCAACAGGGACGAAAAAAAUGACGGUACCUGAAUAAGAAGCCCCGGCUAACUACGUGCCAGCAGCCGCGGUAAUACGUAGGGGGCAAGCGUUAUCCGGAAUUACUGGGUGUAAAGGGAGAGUAGGCGGCAUGACAAGCAAGAUAUGAAAGCCCGGGGCUUAACCGCGGGACUGCAUAAUGAACUGUCAGGCUAGAGUACAGGAGAGGUAAGCGGAAGUCCUAGUGUAGCGGUGAAAUGCGUAGAUAGUAGGAAGAACACCGGUGGCGAAGGCGGCUUACUGGACUGAAACUGACGCUGAGGCUCGAAAGCGUGGGGAGCGAACAGGAUUAGAAACCCCAGUAGUCC